GCCCGAUGAUUAGAGGAACAUCAAAGACAAGCACAUGUCUGAAAUUAUGUGUUGACCAAUCCAAUCUUCUCUGUGAGGCC
rnacentral:snoRNA from 1 species